rnacentral:lncRNA from 1 species
CUGACAUAUAUUAUCUGCCUCAGUUCUUGAGGGGGGGUCUUUUAGCUUUUGUGUAACGGGCAUACAGGUGUGCUGAGGGAGGACUAACCUGAGUUUGGGUAUGUUUUCAGGAUCCCCGGCCUUGCUAAGGAACACCUCUGCUGACAACUUCACGGUGAUUCCCUCUCUUCCUGCCACAGAGGAAACACUUCCGAGCCUGAGGACAGUCACCCAUUAACAUGGGACUGCAGCUGGGAUGUGACUAGAGAGAACCGCUUGUGCUUGUCUCCUGGGAGCUCCCACAGCUCCGUGGAAGAGCUUUCGACAGCCACCAGCCACCAAGACAGAAUUCUUGUGCUACUUCUUGCAUACAGAGACACCUGCUCUCUCGAGUACAGACCCAGGAUCACAUGCUCAAGCAUAUGAAGGUGAGUCCCUGGGAUCCCCAGGUUUCUGCAGUUUGCUACAGCCCUCACUGAUGAGUGAAAAAGUGGAGACCGUGCUUUCCUACUCAAUCUGUGCAACACCUUUUGCCACCACUGAAACUGUCUGCAUGAAAGCACACAAGCAGGUAAGAAGUAAAUGAGAAGGACUCGGCACAGGGAAAGGUCUCCUGGGAUGUGAUGGCUUCUGGGCUGAAGACAUCCAUACACGAGAGGGGACAUAAAAGGAGGGGAAAGUCUGGGUGAAGGCACUACAGUGGGACUUUGAAAACGUAGCAUGUGGCAAGUUGUAUUUUCUUGGAAAGCUUCAUCUGGCUACAAACUGAUACGUGGUUGGGAGAGCUCGCAAGAGUCUGCACAAGCUGGAACGGAGCCUGGGUAGGAACUGGUGGUGAAGAAGAAGCUUUUGAGCUGGUAGGUUUUGGUGUGUCUCAUUGCUUAGUUUGCUCCUGAGCAUAACCAGACCGAAGGAGCAGGGCUGCCUGUUGUCUU